AUGUCUUUAGGUGUUCUGGUCUGGAAUGUUCGGGGAUUGAAUAGCCCCGCGAGGCGUGCUUCGAUUAGGCUGUUCUUACAGUCCUACAAUGUUUCCUUAGUCUGUUUUCAAGAAUCAAAAUUGGAGGUGGUGGAGGUGUCUAUGGUUCACCAGACUCUGGGGCCGGCCUUUGACGGUUUUGACUUUCUGCCUGCUGAGGGCACCCGUGGUGGCAUUUUGGUGGCU
rnacentral:rRNA from 1 species